GAUGAAAUAGCUCAGUUGGGAAAACGUUAGGCUGAAGAUCUAAAGGUCCCUGGUUCGAAUCCGGGUUUCAGCA